GAUGAACGCUAGCGGCGUGCCUAAUACAUGCAAGUCGAACGGGUUAGAUCUAAAAGCUUUCUUUUGUGUGAUUAGAGUGGCGCACGGGGGCGUAAAGCGUGUACACCAUCCACUUGUCAAAGGGGUAGCACGGCGGAAAUCGGAAUAAUAACCCAGAUCAGCUUUUUGAUCCCUCUUUGGAGGAUCGAAAAGUUAUCGCCCAAGGAUAGAUGGGCUUGCGGGUCAUUAGCUGGUAGGUAAGGUAACGGCCUACCAAGGCGGCGAUGCGUAGCGGAUCUGAGAGGGGAAACCCCCACACUGGUACUGAGACACGGCCCAGACUCCUACGGGAGGCAGCAGUAAGGAAUAGUGGGCAAUGGACGGAAGUCUGAACCAGCCACGCCGCGUGCAGGAGGACGGCCCUCGGGUUGGUAAACUGCUUUUAGACGGGAAAAAGCGUCGGUAAGGGUACCGGGCUGAGUGUACCGUAAGAAUAAGGACCGGCUAACUCCGUG
rnacentral:rRNA from 1 species